rnacentral:rRNA from 1 species
GACAGAGGGUGCAAGCGUUGUUCGGAAUCAUUGGGCGUAAAGGGCGCGUAGGCGGUUUUGUAAGUCGGAUGUGAAAGCCCAGGGCUUAACCUUGGAAGUGCAUCCGAAACUGCAUGACUGGAGUCUCGGAGAGGGUGGUGGAAUUCCCGGUGUAGAGGUGAAAUUCGUAGAUAUCGGGAGGAACACCGGUGGCGAAGGCGGCGACCUGGGUAGAUACUGACGCUGAGGUGCGAAAGCGUGGGGAGCAAACAGG